rnacentral:rRNA from 1 species
AUGUCGUCAUGGAGCCCCGUCGCCCAGCCCCUGGUGGUGGUGCACCGCACGACGUCCCCAACUGCUCUGAGCUGCUGCUUCGGGCACGGCGUCGAGCCGGGGAGGAGCGGUGUCGAGCUGCUGCCGCUGCUUGCACGGCGUCGAGCAGCCGCGGGGCCGAGCACUCCCGCCGCCAUGGAGCUGAGGGUGCCGCUGCUGUCCUUCUCUACUGAGGAUGUCGCCGCGGCGGCUGCACGCAGACGAAGCCAUCAUCUGGGCACGGCGGCUCAGGACAUCGACGGCGACAUCGUCAGGUUGGAGCAAGGCACGGCGGCGGUGACGGGAGCCGGCGGGAUCGAGAACAGGGGGAUUGAGAGCAAGGGGGUUGAUUGCUUUUUAUUUUUAGAUCCAGGGGUGUGUAUGACAUUAGUUUGCCAAGUCAGCUCUUGA